rnacentral:sRNA from 1 species
ACCAUUGUGAUUGCGACUUGGACACGGC